rnacentral:rRNA from 1 species
CAGCAGUGGGGAAUAUUGCACAAUGGGCGCAAGCCUGAUGCAGCCAUGCCGCGUGUAUGAAGAAGGCCUUCGGGUUGUAAAGUACUUUCAGCAGUGAGGAAGGCGGGUGUGUUAAUAGCGCAUUCGUUUGACGUUAGCUGCAGAAGAAGCACCGGCUAACUCCGUGCCAGCAGCCGCGGUAAUACGGAGGGUGCGAGCGUUAAUCGGAAUUACUGGGCGUAAAGCGCAUGCAGGUGGUUUGUUAAGUCAGAUGUGAAAGCCCGGGGCUCAACCUCGGAAUUGCAUUUGAAACUGGCAGACUAGAGUACUGUAGAGGGGGUAGAAUUUCAGGUGUAGCGGUGAAAUGCGUAGAGAUCUGAAGGAAUACCGGUGGCGAAGGCGGCCCCCUGGACAGAUACUGACACUCAGAUGCGAAAGCGUGGGGAGCAAACAGGAUUAGAUACCCUGGUAG